AGUGAACGCUGGCGGUAGGCCUAACACAUGCGAGUCGAACGGCAGCACAGUAAAAGCUUGCUCUUACGGGUGGCGAGUGGCGGACGGGUGAGGAAUACAUCGGAAUCUACUUUUUCGUGGGGGAUAACGUAGGGAAACUUACGCUAAUACCGCAUACGACCUACGGGUGAAAGCAGGGGAUCUUCGGACCUUGCGCGAUUGAAUGAGCCGAUGUCGGAUUAGCUAGUUGGCGGGGUAAAGGCCCACCAAGGCGACGAUCCGUAGCUGGUCUGAGAGGAUGAUCAGCCACACUGGAACUGAGACACGGUCCAGACUCCUACGGGAGGCAGCAGUGGGGAAUAUUGGACAAUGGGCGCAAGCCUGAUCCAGCCAUACCGCGUGGGUGAAGAAGGCCUUCGGGUUGUAAAGCCCUUUUGUUGGGAAAGAAAAGCAGCAGGUUAAUACCCCGCUGUUCUGACGGUACCCAAAGAAUAAGCACCGGCUAACUUCGUG
rnacentral:rRNA from 1 species